rnacentral:lncRNA from 1 species
CCAAGGAUGGAAGAAUAAUUUUACCUAUUACAACCUGGUAGUUGGAGAAAAGACUUGGUGAGUGGAGGCGAUCUAGACCUUCCAACAGGUGAAGAAAAGAAGCAAGCAAGGAAGAAUAGCAUUAAUAAGAAGCUCAGGAUGGACAACUGUUUUAGAGGGGGAAAUGUUGGCAUAUCAGUUUCCGCUCUCUGGUGCAACAUGAGAACGUGCAUUCAAGAGAAGAAUUUGCCUCUAUUCAAUCUACCUGGCUCAAUCCCAGAACCAUGCGUCCAACUUCAUCUAUUUUUUGACCUGUAAAUCUCUAUUAUUCAAACGACAACUAGGCAGCCACGUUCUUUUUCCCUUGCUAUUUUGGCCUAUUACAUAAAAACUUUGGCCUUUGGAAAUAUGGAACAGAUUAAUUUUCUCUCCUCCCUCCACUUCUCACUUCUCCUAGGUGGUCUGUCCUAUUAGAAGAAUGAACAGUGUAUUUGACUCUGCCUCUGCUGAGUUUUCUUUAAAUAAAAUAUUUGAAUAUAGCUUAAAUAUCUGUUGAAUUUAUGAUUGUAUUAAAGGUAAUUUAUUUCCU